CUCGCAUCGAUGAAGAACGCAGCGAAAUGCGAUAAGUAAUGUGAAUUGCAGAAUUCAGUGAAUCAUCGAAUCUUUGAACGCACCUUGCACCCUUUGGCAUUCCGAAGGGUAUGCUCGUUUGAGUGUCAUUGUACUCUCACACUCCCAAUCCCUUGGAUUGGGAGCGGUGGACUUGGGUGUUGCCGCUUGACUGAGGCUCACCUGAAAUAUGUUAGUGCAUCUCUUGAUUGGACAUAGUACGGCGUGAUAAGUGUCUUCGCCGGCUCCUCGCAAGAGGGUGGCCGAUCGGGAGCUCUGUUGCUUCAAACUGUCUUCGGACAAUCUUCUGGCAACUUGACCUCAAAUCGAGUAGGACUACCCGCUGAACUUAAGCAUAUCAAUAAGCGGAGGAAAAGAAACU
rnacentral:rRNA from 1 species